rnacentral:rRNA from 1 species
GUGGGGAAUUUUGGACAAUGGGCGCAAGCCUGAUCCAGCAAUGCCGCGUGCAGGAAGAAGGCCUUCGGGUUGUAAACUGCUUUUGUACGGAACGAAACGGUCCGGGUUAAUACCCUGGGCUAAUGACGGUACCGUAAGAAUAAGCACCGGCUAACUACGUGCCAGCAGCCGCGGUAAUACGUAGGGUGCAAGCGUUAAUCGGAAUUACUGGGCGUAAAGCGUGCGCAGGCGGUUUUGUAAGACAGGCGUGAAAUCCCCGGGCUCAACCUGGGAAUUGCGCUUGUGACUGCAAGGCUGGAGUGCGGCAGAGGGGGAUGGAAUUCCGCGUGUAGCAGUGAAAUGCGUAGAUAUGCGGAGGAACACCGAUGGCGAAGGCAAUCCCCUGGGCCUGCACUGACGCUCAUGCACGAAAGCGUGGGGAGCAAACAGGAUUAGAUACCCGUGUAGUC